CUUCAUAAAGCUAGAUAACCGAAAGUAAAAAUAACCCCAUUACACGCCUGAGGAGGAUGUGGAGAAGAAAGGAAAUCCAUCAAAAGGAAAAUGAGGAAAAGAAAAAAUGAAAUGAAAAGAAGGAAGAGAAAGGAAAUGAGAGGUGGAAAAAAAAAAGAACUGGGGAAAAAAAGACAACUUUUUGAAACUGGAAUUAAAACCCGAGGCAAUCAAAGUAUGAGGCGAACCCAGGAGCGGGGGCUAGAGGGACCGAAAGACCCCCUUAAAUACCACGAGGCACCCGAAUUGCAAGAGCUGCCAGCAGUGAAACCGGGGAGGGGGCGCCACCACCGCCGGCGGCCGCUCACACCUUCCUCCUCCUCCUCCUCCUCC
rnacentral:lncRNA from 1 species